rnacentral:rRNA from 1 species
CCCUUAGAUGUUCUGGGCUGCACGCGCGCUACACUGAUGCGCUCAACGAGUUUACGACCUUGCCCGGAAGGGUUGGGUAAUCUUUUUAAAACGCAUCGUGAUGGGGAUAGAUUAUUGCAAUUAUUAAUCUUUAACGAGGAAUUCCUAGUAAAUGCAAGUCAUCAGCUUGCGUUGAUUACGUCCCUGCCCUUUGUACACACCGCCCGUCGCUACUACCGAUUGAAUGGUUUAGUGAGAUCUCCGGAUUGGCUCUGUAGGUCCCGCAAGGGAUUUAUUAGUAGCCAAGAAGCUGCUCAAACUUGAUCAUUUAGAGGAAGUAAAAGUCGUAACA